rnacentral:rRNA from 1 species
CCUACGGGAGGCAGCAGUGGGGAAUUUUGGACAAUGGGCGCAAGCCUGAUCCAGCAAUGCCGCGUGGGUGAAGACGGCCUGCGGGUUGUAAAGCCCUUUUAGUGGGGAAGAAAGCCUCGAGGGGAACAGCCUCGGGGGGUGACGUUACCCACCGAAAAAGCACCGGCCAACUCCGUGCCAGCAGCCGCGGUAAUACGGAGGGUGCGAGCGUUAAUCGGAAUUACUGGGCGUAAAGCGCGUGUAGGCGGCCUUGCAAGCCAGACGUGAAAGCCCUCGGCUUAACCGGGGAAGUGCGUCUGGAACUGCUCGGCUCGAGUACGGGAGAGGGAGGCGGAAUUCCCAGUGUAGAGGUGAAAUUCGUAGAUAUUGGGAGGAACACCGGUGGCGAAAGCGGCCUCCUGGACCGAUACUGACGCUGAGGUGCGAAAGCGUGGGUAGCAAACAGGAUUAGAUACCCUGGUAGUCCACGCCGUAAACGAUGUCAACUAGCCGUUGGAUCCGCUUUAAGGGUUUAGUGGCGCAGCUAACGCGAUAGGUUGACCGCCUGGGGAGUACGGCCGCAAGGUUAAAACUCAAAGGAAUUGACGG